rnacentral:rRNA from 1 species
GCAGUCGAACGCGUCUUGGUUAUUGAUGUUAGAUGCUUGCAUUUAACUGAUUUAACAUUGAGACGAGUGGCGAACUGGUGAGUAACACGUGGGUAACCUGCCCUUGAAGUAGGGGAUAACACUUGGAAACAGGUGCUAAUACCGUAUAACAACCAAAACCACCUGGUUUUGGUUUAAAAGAUGGCUUCGGCUAUCACUUUAGGAUGGACCCGCGGCGUAUUAGCUUGUUGGUAAGGUAACGGCCUACCAAGGCAAUGAUACGUAGCCGACCUGAGAGGGUAAUCGGCCACAUUGGGACUGAGACACGGCCCAAACUCCUACGGGAGGCAGCAGUAGGGAAUCUUCCACAAUGGACGAAAGUCUGAUGGAGCAACGCCGCGUGAGUGAUGAAGGGUUUCGGCUCGUAAAACUCUGUUGUUGGAGAAGAACAGGUGUGAGAGUAACUGUUCACAUCUUGACGGUAUCCAACCAGAAAGCCACGGCUAACUACGUGCCAGCAGCCGCGGUAAUACGUAGGUGGCAAGCGUUGUCCGGAUUUAUUGGGCGUAAAGCGAGCGCAGGCGGUUUCUUAGGUCUGAUGUGAAAGCCUUCGGCUUAACCGGAGAAGUGCAUCGGAAACCAGGAGACUUGAGUGCAGAAGAGGACAGUGGAACUCCAUGUGUAGCGGUGAAAUGCGUAGAUAUAUGGAAGAACACCAGUGGCGAAGGCGGCUGUCUGGUCUGUAACUGACGCUGAGGCUCGAAAGCAUGGGUAGCGAACAGGAUUAGAUACCCUGGUAGUCCAUGCCGUANACGAUGAGUGCUAAGUGUUGGAGGGUUUCCGCCCUUCAGUGCUGCAGCUAACGCAUUAAGCACUCCGCCUGGGGAGUACGACCGCAAGGUUGGAACUCAAAGGAAUUGACGGGGGCC